UACGUAGGGUGCGAGCGUUAAUCGGAAUUACUGGGCGUAAAGCGUGCGCAGGCGGCGCGUUAAGACAGGUGUGAAAGCCCCGAGCUUAACUUGGGAAUUGCGCUUGUGACUGGCGUGCUGGAGUGUGGCAGAGGGAGGUGGAAUUCCACGUGUAGCAGUGAAAUGCGUAGAGAUGUGGAGGAACACCGAUGGCGAAGGCAGCCUCCUGGGCCAGCACUGACGCUGAUGCACGAAAGCGUGGGGAGCAAACAGG
rnacentral:rRNA from 1 species